UCCUGUCGCAACUGUGAGGUUGCUAGGGGACUAACUGAGACUCCAGGAAAUUUCUGCUCACCCCAGUGAAAUUGUUCGGCACAUAACACCUCAAAAUGUGUGGUUUCCACACUUCGCUUUCAUAGAGAUUAAACAAAAGGAGAUUUAACAUCUCUCAUUCGACUUACAAGAUGAAGCAGAUGACGCCAAUGCUCCACAUGUCCGUCUCCAGGCCUACAGGCUCAUAGUUGAUCACCUCAGGUGCCACGAAUUCCGGUGUACCAUGCAUCACCAUCAGAGGUUUACCCUCCUCUGAAGAAGGGUAAGAAACCCGCAGAAAUUCAAAAUGUCACCCUGAAUGUUAUAAACCCAUAUUUUGAGGAUGGCAAUACUGAAAUAUAUUUGUGUCAGUAAAACUUGAUGCAAAGUUUCAUGAACCCAGAAAAUCUUUUUAAUGCAAUUAUGUGCAAACAGGAACAGGUAUAACAGGAAGCGUUUCAUUCUCUGUGCUGGGUGCACAAGGCUGCACAAAGCUGGUAGCAACAAGUGCAGCACAGCAUUGACUACUUCCUUAUAAGGACACUUGGAUUUCCCUGUUUUGUAAUUUGCAAUAGAAUACACACAGGAUAUGUCAUUCAUUCAAAACACAUGGAGAUUUAGUCAUUGUCCCUGGUGAACGACUGCAAAAGUUAUAAAAAUAGGUCCCAGAGGGAUCAUUAUGAGACCAUUUCCACAAACUCACCCACUUUACUAGCCAAGCCAAAGUCAAUGAUCUUAAUCCGUGUCCCAGUUGUAUCCACACAGACGAUGUUCUCUGGUUUGAGGUCCAAGUGGAUGAUGUUCUGCUUGUGAACGUACUUCAUGCCCUCCAGAAUUUGCUGCAUGUAGCGGGCACUGGUGGGCUCCGUGUGCUCAAAGUUGUCAUCCACGAUGCGUUGAAAGAGCUCCCCACCUGCAAUACUGGGCAGACAACACUAUUCAGGUAUGUGCUUCAUAAACAACCCGAUGUGGUACUCCAGUGUUAAGCAGCAUUUAUAAAACUUGUACAUAUGGCGUUUUAUCAGUGGAAAUUGUUUGAUCUCAUUGCCAUCACUUUGUCACCUUAUCUGCCACCGCUUGUUAUAAAAUGUAGGUGUAAACAUAAUCCAGAAAUUAUAUAGUUAUAUUGGAACUGGAAUCUAAAAUCUACAGAUGAUAGCUGACACAAAUUAUACUUUAAUAUAAAUUACUGCAUGUCCUCCUGUAUGGUUUGCUGGUAUUGUAUGGUUUCAAUUAAGAUAUUGUUUGUCUUUUUAUAAUAUUCACACUAAAUCUCCUACAAAUGACCUUGAAUUACUCUUAAACAACAAAUGUAAUCACCUAGUUUCCACCAAACAACAGUAUUACAGCUGCUAGUGUCACCUAGCAACAUUAAUAAUGAUGUGAAACUACCUGCUUUGGCUUUAGCGAACAGUAGUUUGAUUGCUCGUGGCUUUGUCCUGAUUUACAGUACAAAAUUUCAAUCAACAGUAACAUAGAAUGAUUUUACCAGAUCAAAGUCACUUUUCCACUCCACAAUUACUUACUACUCCAGGACCAUGACCAUCUCUAAGCGUGUGUCAUAGGCAGCCAGACACUGGACCAGUUUUGGGUGGUGAAGACAGUUCAUCAGUUCAAUUUCCUUGCGAGCUGCCUGCCUGUCCUUGGAAGUUCGGGCUCGGUAGAACUUCCCCGCACACACCUCACCAGUUUCCUUGUGGGACAUCCGGAACACCUGGCCAAACUUCCCCCUGGGAAGAUGACUCAUUCACUUUGGACAAUAUACAUGAGAAUAAUCUGAACUGAUCUAAAGGUCUGGCUCAUGGUGAGUUUAAACUUUGUUUUAAAUACAAAGAAUCCAAACUUACACUCCCAGCUUCUCAUGCACAUUGUAGUGGUCUUUGACCUUGUGUUUGGUGUCAAUGGUCACUGUGACAUAUGACGCAGGCUCUUCUUUCUUUUCUUCUUCAAAAUAUGAACAGAAGUGGAAAAACAAGCACAUUACUCCUGACAGACAGCAGAAAAAUAAAAGCGCACAUCCUCUUUUAAAACAUUUUUAAAAACCAACACGUCGCUUACUUGCAGUCGCCAUCUUAACAGACUGCGACUCCUGGCUUGGCUCGCUGACCCCUGCAGAGUUGUAGGCUCUCACACGGAAGCGGUACUGCCCCAGAGGCUCCAGGCCUGAGAGGACGUGGAAUGAUGUGUUUUUACAAUGGCUUGUUAAUUCAGUCCAGCUCCCAGGCUUGUCCAGUCCCUCUUGUCUGACCUCCACGAUGUAGCCCAACACAGCUAUGCCUCCGUCAUAGCUGGGACCCGUCCAGGACAGGACGACGGACUGCGUGGACAGCUGGGAAACGACAGGUUGGGAUGCCGGAGGCUGGGGUCGGUCUGAGGAGAAAUUCAAGAACAAAUUGUUUUUACUCAUAUACCUAGACACAAGGCGACUUGAGUUGCUGAUGAUGCCUUCCUGUACCAAUUUCCAUACAUAGGCUACUGCAUGGGUUUCAAUCUGUUAAUAGCCUACUACCAUCCUAAGCUGCCGCCUUUUCCCUCUUUGCUACAUUUUCUGUUCAUGAUUUUUUGUUAAAUAAAUCUCUGCAACAAGAAGUGCUGAAAAUGAGUCUCACCUACGACAGUGAGGGUGACUGUGUGCUUGCCAGAGCCUUUUCUGUUUCGUACUAUGACAGUGUAGGAGCCUCUGUCAUCAGGACAGGCCUGAGAGAGCUCCACGCUGCUUUGGGUCUCACUGCUCCGGACGGACAUCCUCGGCCCACUUACCACCACCUGUAGAGCAACCAAGGUGGUAGUACAUACCAAGACUUUAACUGGCACAGAAUUUCAAAGUGACAAUAUACAGUAAUGGAUCAAGUAAUACUAACAACCACUGUUACCUUGUCUUUGUUGUAAAUCCAGCAGCAGACCACAGGAAUACAGCUGCUCUUGAACUCACAGUGUAGCCGGGCCUGUUCUCCUACUCGAACCUCCACCUUCUCUGGUGGGUGUAAAAACUCCACAGGAGGUCCUGAAGAGAAGCAGAGUUUACCAUGACUGAACUGCAAUCAAAUUUAGCUUUUACUUCACUAGCUCAAAUGUUGCUUGCCCUCCACUCACCUUUGCUAGGGGAGACUUUUGUUUGAAGGUUGAUUUCUCUGAUAUCUGUGAAGACUGAAGAAGUAGAUGGGCUUAGAGGUGUGAGUGCGCAUGUUAUAAAAGUAACCUUUGCAGGUGUUUUGAGUUAAUUAGCUGAUUAGAGCUCUUCUCAGUGUCAACAUUUCUGUAUUAUAAAUUCUUUAUUUAAAUUGUAUAAUAUUUUAAGAUACUGGAUUUUCAAGAUUAAAACAAAAGGCUUGAUA